UACGUAGGUGGCGAGCGUUGUCCGGAUUUAUUGGGUUUAAAGGGUGCGUAGGCGGCUUUGUAAGUCAGUGGUGAAAUACUCCAGCUUAACUGGAGGGGUGCCAUUGAUACUGCGGAGCUUGAGUACAGAUGAGGUAGGCGGAAUUGACGGUGUAGCGGUGAAAUGCAUAGAUAUCGUCAAGAACACCGAUAGCGAAGGCAGCUUACUGGGCUGUAACUGACGCUGAUGCACGAAAAGUGUGGGGAUCAAAACAGG
rnacentral:rRNA from 1 species